UACGUAGGGACCAAGCGUUGUUCGGAUUUACUGGGCGUAAAGAGCGUGUAGGCGGUCCGGUAAGUCGGCUGUGAAAGUCCAGGGCUCAACCCCUGGGGAUGCCGGUCGAUACUGCCCGGACUAGAGUUCGGAAGAGGCGAGUGGAAUUCCCCGGUGUAGCGGUGAAAUGCGCAGAUAUCGGGAGGAACACCUAUGGCGAAGGCAGCUCGCUGGGACGUUACUGACGCUGAGACGCGAAAGCGUGGGGAGCAAACAGG
rnacentral:rRNA from 1 species